rnacentral:lncRNA from 1 species
UGUGUCGCUACUUUGCUUCAUUGCUAAUCGCAUUAACAUCGACAUUCGUCGUGAGAUGGGGCCUGCCGAGAGAGAGAGAGA